rnacentral:rRNA from 1 species
CAAGUCGAACGCGAAAGUUCCCUUCGGGGAACAAGUAGAGUGGCGCACAGGUGAGUAACACGUAGGUAAUCUACCUUCGGGUGGGGAAUAACCCAGGGAAACUUGGGCUAACACCGCAUGAUGCAGCGGCACCACAUGGUGACAGUUGUUAAAGCGGGGGAUUUUCGGACCUCGCGCCUGAAGAGGAGCCUGCGGCGGAUUAGCUAGUUGGUGAGGUAACGGCUCACCAAGGUGACGAUCCGUAGCCGGCCUGAGAGGGCGGUCGGCCACACUGACACUGACAUACGGGUCAGACUCCUACGGGAGGCAGCAGUCGGGAAUUUUGGGCAAUGGGCGAAAGCCUGACCCAGCAACGCCGCGUGAAGGAUGAAAUCCCUCGGGAUGUAAACUUCGCAAGAAUGGGAAGAAUUAGUAGGGGUUAAUACCCCCUAUGAUGACGGUACCAUUUGUAAGCUCCGGCUAACUCCGUGCCAGCAGCCGCGGUAAUACGGGGGGAGCAAGCGUUGUUCGGAUUUACUGGGCGUAAAGGGCGCGUAGGCGGCCAGCGCAAGUCAGUUGUGAAAUCUCCAGGCUUAACUCGGAAAGGUCAACUGAUACUGCGCGGCUAGAGUGCGGAAGGGGCAACUGGAAUUCUCGGUGUAGCGGUGAAAUGCGUAGAUAUCGAGAGGAACACCUGCGGCGAAGGCGGGUUGCUGGGCCGACACUGACGCUGAGGCGCGAAAGCCAGGGGAGCGAACGGGAUUAGAUACCCCGGUAGUCCUGGCCUUAAACGAUGGAUGCUUGGUGUCUGGGGUUUUAUAGUCCCCGGGUGCCGCAGCUAACGCGUUAAGCAUCCCGCCUGGGGAGUACGGUGCAAGACUGAAACUCAAGGAAUUGACGGGGACCCGC